CCCGGUUCUUUUGGCUAUAAGAUACUGAGCCGAUGGACAUGAAUAACUGAGUGCCCUAUGCUCAUCUAUUGAGUCUGCUUGUGGAGCCAGUGACAAACCUGAGCUAGAGCAACUGAAGCCCUGCUUGGAAGGUCAUCCUUUCAGCAUAUCUGCAGAGUAAUCAACUCAACCUCCUGGACAGAGAGGAAAUCCAGUGAUUGAAAAUGUAGUCACUACUGCUGUUGCUUAUAGAAGUGAGGAAUCUCAGUAGCCAGAGCUGCAAAGUUUUGAAGACAUUGUUUGCAGCUGAUUUUUGAAACCAACGCUUGCAGUUUUCA